rnacentral:rRNA from 1 species
UACGGGGGGGGGCAAGCGUUGUUCGGAAUCACUGGGCGUAAAGCGCACGUAGGCGGACUGUUAAGUCGGGGGUGAAAUCCUGGGGCUCAACCUCAGAAUUGCCUCCGAUACUGGCAGUCUCGAGUGCGGGAGAGGUGAGUGGAAUUCCCAGUGUAGAGGUGAAAUUCGUAGAUAUUGGGAAGAACACCAGUGGCGAAGGCGGCUCACUGGCCCGUAACUGACGCUGAGGUGCGAAAGCGUGGGGAGCAAACAGG